AUUGAACGCUGGCGGCAGGCCUAACACAUGCAAGUCGAACGAGUGGCGGACGGGUGAGUAAUGUCUGGGAAACUGCCUGAUGGAGGGGGAUAACUACUGGAAACGGUAGCUAAUACCGCAUACCAUCAGAUGUGCCCAGAGGGGAUUAGCUAGUUGGUGGGGUAACGGCUCACCUAGGCGAAGAUCCCUAGCUGGUCUGAGAGGAUGACCAGACACAAUGGAACUGAGACACGGUCCAGACUCCUACGGGAGGAAGCAGUGGGGAAUAUUGCACAAUGGGCGAAAGCCUGAUGCAGCCAUGCCGCGUGUAUGAAGAAGGCCUUCGGGUUGUAAAGUACUUUCAGCGGGGAGGCGUUACCCGCAGAAGAAGCACCGGCUAACUCCGUGCCAGCAGCCGCGGUAAUAC
rnacentral:rRNA from 1 species